GCACUAGUUGGGGAGCCAGCGGUGCCCUGUAACCUGCAAUCCGCUAUAGCAGGGACGAAUUCCCGGCCGAGGGGAUGUUCUGUAUCGUCCGACCCCGGUAAGCAGCGUUGAAGACCCGGUCUUGCGCAAGGUCGACCCGUGAACCAUGUCAGGCGGGGAACCGAGCAGCAUUAAGCGGUGCUCGGCUUGUGCCGCGAGGUCGCCGGGUCCGAGCCGGCUGCCGGCGGUACGG
rnacentral:SRP_RNA from 1 species